rnacentral:rRNA from 1 species
AUUGAACGCUGGCGGCAGGCUUAACACAUGCAAGUCGAGCGAGCGGCGGACGGGUGAGUAAUGUCUGGGAAACUGCCUGAUGGAGGGGGAUAACUACUGGAAACGGUAGCUAAUACCGCAUACCAUCAGAUGUGCCCAGAUGGGAUUAGCUAUUAGGUGGGGUAAUGGCUCACUUAGGCGACGAUCCCUAGCUGGUCUGAGAGGAUGACCAGACACACUGUAACGGGGACACGGGCCAGACUCCUACGGGAGGCAGCAUUGGGGAAUAUGGCACAAUGGGCGCAAGCCUGAUGCAGCCAUGCCGCAUGUGUGAAGAAGGCCUUCGGGUUGUAAAGCACUUUCAGCGAGAAGGCGUUACUCGCAGAAGAAGCACCGGCUAACACCGUGCCAGCAGCCGCGGUAAUAC